rnacentral:rRNA from 1 species
GGACCAAUAUGUUGGUCGUGCCUCGGUACGUACUGGUAUUAUUGGUUUCUCCCUUCUGAAGAACCUCGAUGCUAUUAAUUUGGUGUCGUGGGAAAUCAGAACUGUUACUUUGAAAAAAUUAGAGUGUUUAAAGCAGGCAUACGCUUGAAUACAUUAGCAUGGAAUAAUGAAAUAGGACGUUUGAUUCUAUUUUGUUGGUUUCUAGGAUCGACGUA